GUCCUUUUAUCCCAACUGUGUGGCAUAGCUCCAGAAGAGAGACCUACUUGCAUGUAAGCAGGUCUCAAACCAUUCAGAUGCUAAGAUUUAUCUUUUUAUCUAAACUCUGAGGUACACAAAAUGGGAGGGGGAGGUCCUCUCAAAAAUGUUUACCCUCAACAAAAAUGGUGGUUUGUAUUCUGUAAUACAUUUAUCAGUAGGGCAGGUGAACUUCAUAGCGCUUGGUUUCUUAAGCAGCAAAAUUCAUGAACUGGGCUGAUGAAAUACUGACUUCUUUUCUGAUGGGUCAAUCAAAUGUAUGUUUCCACACCAUCUCUGAGAAGGUGUAAGUUCUCAUUUGAAUCUUUUCCUCUGAUUAAGGCAUUUAAAGAGCUGAACUGGCACUAGAGGUUUUGACUUAGAGGGAUCGCUAACGCAGAAUAUAUAUCCAACCUUUUCUUUUCAUGAAAGUUACAGGAAGUGAGUAUUUCUGAGGCCUCUAGCAAAUAUGGUUGGGAUUAGCCUGUGGAUUCUAGAGUUAUUGAGCCAGAAAAGAGAACAAAUAGAUGAAUACAGACAUGCAUAGGAACUGUGACACAGCCUUUUCUUUCUUUAGGAAACUAGACUAGCAAUGUGAUGUGGAAGCUUGUUAGUCUUUUACAGCGGGGGCUUGAUUUUACACUGGACAGCUGUUGUGAGUUAAACACCUUAGUGGCAAUUUAUUUUGGAACUCCACAACAUUCUGUACUUAUAUGUAAUCCAUAUACAGAUCCCUGUUUUGAAAAACAAUGCUGUUUUAUCAGAAAGAACUGACUAUGUCCCUGUAUUUUAGGCUUGGAAUUUAGGGCAGAGGGCAACCCAAGUAUCUAUUGAACCUGGUCUGAGGAAGAUUUUUCCGCUCUGCAUUUUCUUUGGUACAGACUUAAAGAACUAGAAGAAAAGUCAAGAAAGUGGGAGUCCAGAUCAGAAGACACACAUCUUAUAAGCUGUCUGCAAGACAAAUUAAGUGAGAAAGAAGAAAUUAUCAAGCAGCUGGUGGAAGGAAGAAAAUUUCAGCAUUCACUUCUAGCCAACACUGAAUCUUACAGGAAUCGAUCAUUUUCUUUCAACCCCAAUACGGGCUGCUUGACUCCUUCCAUGAAGCAGCAGAAGAAAACGGCUGAGGUGCCCAGUCGUGUUGUCAGUGUGCCAAAUUUAGCUGCCUACGCAAAGAGCUUUUUGAGCUGCGAUUUGAGAUCCAAAAGAAAUGCUCCUCAAAUAACCAAAUCUACGAGCUUAGACCGGAGUCCUGGCGGCCUCAGCGUGGGCUCUCCAUCAGCACAGUCCUCAGACAGCAGCACUGCCACAAGGACUCAAGGCAACGAACCCCAAAAAACCAAAGAUGACCAAACCCAAGACCCUCAGCAUCAAGAAUGGUUUACUAAAUAUUUUUCAUUUUAAAGCAAACUAUUUCCAUACUUCUCAGAAUUGCUAGAAAAGCUGUUCCUUUUUUAUUUUAGGGAAUGAUAAUCCAAUAUAUGAUAUGAAAAAAAAAGUAAUUUCCAAGUAGAUUAAUUAAGAACAACUGUACUCUCUUACAUCUAAUUACUAUGGAGUUACAGUCGUGGAUUUCAGAAAAAUAAAUAUUUUGUAACAACCUCUGUAAAAAACGAAGAAAAAGUAAAAUUCUGGAUAUUGUUAUGUUAAGAGACUUUUUAAUUAAGAGACUGUACCACUCCACAGUCACAUUAAAUAUGCAAUUUGGUCUCCAGUAUGUCAAUCUGGCUCCAGCUGAAAAAAAGAUCUUCUCUAGGCCAUUUCUGUAGGUUUAUACAUUUGCUUCAUCAGCUGUUUAAACUAAUUCCUGCAUAUAGUGAUGUAAUUUUUAAAGUUUUUAAUAGGUUUUUUGUUAAACUUACUUUAAGCUGUACAGCAUGUGGUAUACCUCCAAGAAACGCAUGUUUAUAGCAAGCUGGUUUAGAAACUUUCUGGUUUGCUCAAUAAACUGUUUUGUAUAGUCAGCAUUGCAAUAUAAUAUUCCUAUUGCACUUCAAUACAUGUAACAAUCAGCCUGAUAAAUCAGAUUAUUAUGUAAGUAUGAACAUUAAAACUUGCUUGUAAAUCCUCCA